rnacentral:misc_RNA from 1 species
UCCCGGUUAACCCGGGCAGUCUCGUUAGAGUUCCCACCAUUACGUGUUGGCAACUAACAAUAAGGGUUGCGCUCGUUGCGGGACUUAACCCAACACCUCACGGCACGAGCUGACGACAGCCAUGCAGCACCUGUGUAAAGGCCCCGAAGGGAGACGCUAUCUCUAGCGCUGUCCUCUACAUGUCAAACCUGGGUAAGGUUCUUCGCGUUGCAUCGAAUUAAACCACAUGCUCCACUGCUUGUGCGGGUCCCCGUCAAUUCUUUUGAGUUUCACCCUUGCGAGCGUACUCCCCAGGCGGUAUACUUAUCGCGUUGGCUUCGGCACAACUGGGGUUGAGUCCAGUUACACCAAGUAUACAUAGUUUACGGCAAGGACUAC